UGUGUUACUAGAUUUACACAAUGUGCACCACAAUGCACAUACAAAGCCAAUGGCUGUUCUCUAUUCAACACUGCCUGUGCUCCUGAGAAUUUCCCUGCCAUAUUGGCUGCUCCAUCGUAAGUCUGACCUCGCAAGACAGAGAUUGGAAUAUUUAAUCUCAGGAGCACAUCAAUAGCUAGUGUGAUAGGAUGAAUGAGGUAAGUGGCUGUGAUUGACACAUGUGAGCACCAAUCAGCAGUGAGUGCUGAGUAUUUCAGGACGUGUUUGGUUUAGCCUGGGAUAUGUCAUGUCCGGAUCCUCCCCUUUUUGUGUUGAUGGUGGCUUCAGGUAUGCGCUGCUGACAGGUAGCAUUUGCUAAUCUUUAAUGACAAACACUGAUACUUAUGAUUUUGUUUGUUGCACCCCAGCCUGUCUGUUUUAUUAGUGUUUUCAUCUGUUGCUGUGGACUGUAUGAUUGCCCUUUUUAGCUUUGCAGCGGGGUAUUUGAACGCUGCGUGUCCAGCCUGCGAACUGAUAGUAAGCUCAUCUACUCUCGUUGUGCUCAUUUGGAUUCUCCCUCUUUGGUCCUGGUGAUUAUCGUCGCGACUCUUUUGCUCUCUGCUACUGUUGUACACUUCACAAACACUUCCAUUACCAUUACCUAGGAAGACUGCUGCUGUCGUUAUGGUUGUUCAUGCGGAUUGUUAAUUCUCUUCAGAUAACUCGGGGUGGAUGAAACUUCAGCUCACGUGACCAUACUUUUGUUAUGGACUGCGGCCUCGUCUGAGCCCCUUUCUCCUUUCGUGAACUGUGUGGGCUUGUGCUUGAAUACUUGUGUAUUGCUGAGCCCUUACUGUAGUGGCUUUUACCCACAUUGUUAUGAUUGAGUUGUAAUUCCAUAUGACUGGUUUCUGUAUGUAUUUUCGUUUAUGAGGUUUGUUUUUGUUUUUGAUUUCCUUUCAGGAGCUGGGGUCCCACGGGUGGAGGAUCUUUUGUGGUGGUGUUGGUGCUGCUUCAACGUUUGCUGUGUGACACUUUUUGAAGUGUGUGCGUGUGAUCUGAGUUCACGGUGUGUAGAAGUGUGCUUUUGGAUAACUAGUGCUGGUGAUCAAUCCGGUGGGUAACCUCAGCCCUGUAAGUUAGUGUAUUUUGUUUC